AUUGAACGCUGGCGGAAUGCUUUACACAUGCAAGUCGAACGGUAGAGGGGCAACCCUUGAGAGUGGCGAACGGGUGAGUAAUGUAUCGGAACAUGCCCGGUCGUGGGGGAUAACGUAGCGAAAGUUACGCUAAUACCGCAUACGAUCUAUGGAUGAAAGCGGGGGAUCGCAAGACCUCGCGCGAUUGGAGUGGCCGAUAUCAGAUUAGGUAGUUGGUGGGGUAAAGGCCUACCAAGCCGACGAUCUGUAGCUGGUCUGAGAGGACGACCAGCCAAACUGGGACUGAGACACGGCCCCGACUCCUACGGGAGGCAGCAGUGGGGAAUUUUGGACAAUGGGCGCAAGCCUGAUCCAGCCAUUCCGCGUGCAGGAAGAAGGCCUUCGGGUUGUAAACUGCUUUUGUACGGAACGAAACGCGCUGAGCUAAUACCUCGGCGUAAUGACGGUACCGUAAGAAUAAGCACCGGCUAACUACGUGCCAGCAGCCGCCGUAA
rnacentral:rRNA from 1 species